AAAGAAAGAGGGAGGAAGGAAGAAAAAAGGAAAGUAGAAAGAGACCUUCGGGUCUAGUGGCGCACGGGUGCGUAACGCGUGGGAAUCUGCCCUUGGGUUCGGAAUAACAGUUGGAAACGACUGCUAAUACCGGAUGAUGACGUAAGUCCAAAGAUUUAUCGCCCAAGGAUGAGCCCGCGUAGGAUUAGCUAGUUGGUGAGGUAAAGGCUCACCAAGGCGACGAUCCUUAGCUGGUCUGAGAGGAUGAUCAGCCACACUGGGACUGAGACACGGCCCAGACUCCUACGGGAGGCAGCAGUGGGGAAUAUUGGACAAUGGGCGAAAGCCUGAUCCAGCAAUGCCGCGUGAGUGAUGAAGGCCUUAGGGUUGUAAAGCUCUUUUACCCGGGAUGAUAAUGACAGUACCGGGAGAAUAAGCUCCGGCUAACUCCGUA
rnacentral:rRNA from 1 species